UGGGGAAUAUUGCACAAUGGGCGGAAGCCUGAUGCAGCGACGCCGCGUGAGGGAUGACGGCCUUCGGGUUGUAAACCUCUUUCAGUAGGGACGAAGCGUAAGUGACGGUACCUGCAGAAGAAGCACCGGCUAACUACGUGCCAGCAGCCGCGGUAAUACGUAGGGUGCGAGCGUUGUCCGGAAUUACUGGGCGUAAAGAGCUCGUAGGCGGUUUGUCACGUCGUCUGUGAAAUCCUAGGGCUUAACCCUGGACGUGCAGGCGAUACGGGCUGACUUCAGUACUACGGGGGAGACUGGAAUUUCUGGUGACGCGGUGGAAUGCACAGAUAUCAGGAAGAACACCGAUGGCGAAGGCAGGUCUCUGGGUAGUAACUGACGCUGAGGAGCGAAAGCAUGGGUAGCGAACAGG
rnacentral:rRNA from 1 species